rnacentral:rRNA from 1 species
AUUGAACGCUGGCGGCAGGCCUAACACAUGCAAGUCGAACGAGUGGCGGACGGGCGAGUAAUGUCUGGGAAACUGCCCGAUGGCGGGGGAUAACUACUGGAAACGGUAGCUAAUACCGCAUACCAUCGGAUGUGCCCAGAUGGGAUUAGCUAGUAGGGGGGGUAACGGCUCACCUAGGCGACGCUCCCUAGCUGGUCUGAGAGGACGACCAGCCACAAUGGGACUGAGACACGGUCCAGACUCCUACGGGAGGCAGCAGUGGGGAAUAUUGGACAAUGGGCGCAAGCCUGAUGCAGCCAUGCCGCGUGUAUGAAGAAGGCCUUCGGAUUGUAAAGUACUUUCAGCGGGGAAGCGUUACUCACAGAAGAAGCACCGGCUAACUCCGUGCCAGCAGCCGCGGUAAUAC